CAAAUGACAUAAAAUGUCUGCGUAACAUUAGCCAUGAUAAAUUAGCGUAACACUCAAUCUUUAGCUGUUCAGGAGCAAAUUAGCAACUCGGCGUCCUUUGGUCUCUAAGCUGUCCCCAUCUUUUAAAUGCAUCUCCAAUAUUUACCCGUGUUUUACCACAUAUGUCAUGCA